rfam:Fomitopsis pinicola FP-58527 SS1 unplaced genomic scaffold FOMPIscaffold_22, whole genome shotgun sequence.
GCCGAGAUAGCUCAGUUGGGAGAGCAGCAGACUGAAGAGAUACCGAAUUCUGAAGGUCGGGCGUUCGAUCCGCCCUCUUGGCA